GAUGAAGAACGCAGUGAAAUGCGAUACGUAAUGUGAAUUGCAGAAUUCAGUGAAUCAUCGAGUCUUUGAACGCACAUUGCGCCCCCUGGUAUUCCGGGGGGCAUGCCUGUCCGAGCGUCAUUGCUGCCCUCAAGCACGGCUUGUGUGUUGGGCCUCCGUCCUCCUCCCGGGGGACGGGCCCGAAAGGCAGCGGCGGCACCGCGUCCGGUCCUCGAGCGUAUGGGGCUUCGUCACCCGCUCUUGUAGGCCCGGCCGGCGCUUGCCGACACAUCAAUCUUUUUUCCAGGUUGACCUCGGAUCAGGUAGGGAUACCCGCUGAACUUAAGCAUAUCAAUAAGCGGAGA
rnacentral:misc_RNA from 1 species